rnacentral:rRNA from 1 species
UACGUAGGGGGCGAGCGUUGUCCGGAUUUAUUGGGCGUAAAGAGCGUGUAGGCGGCCAGGUAGGUCUGCUGUGAAAACUCGAGGCUCAACCUCGAGACGUCGGCGGAAACCAUCUGGCUAGAGUCCGGAAGAGGAGAGUGGAAUUCCUGGUGUAGCGGUGAAAUGCGCAGAUAUCAGGAGGAACACCAAUGGCGAAGGCAGCUCGCUGGGACGGUAUUGACGCUGAGACGCGAAAGCGUGGGGAGCAAACAGG